rnacentral:rRNA from 1 species
UAGGGAAUCUUCGGCAAUGGACGAAAGUCUGACCGAGCAACGCCGCGUGAGUGAAGAAGGCUUUCGGAUCGUAAAACUCUGUUGUUAGAGAAGAACAAGGACGUUAGUAACUGAACGUCCCCUGACGGUAUCUAACCAGAAAGCCACGGCUAACUACGUGCCAGCAGCCGCGGUAAUACGUAGGUGGCAAGCGUUGUCCGGAUUUAUUGGGCGUAAAGCGAGCGCAGGCGGUUUCUUAAGUCUGAUGUGAAAGCCCCCGGCUCAACCGGGGAGGGUCAUUGGAAACUGGGAGACUUGAGUGCAGAAGAGGAGAGUGGAAUUCCAUGUGUAGCGGUGAAAUGCGUAGAUAUAUGGAGGAACACCAGUGGCGAAGGCGGCUGUCUGGUCUGUAACUGACGCUGAGGCUCGAAAGCGUGGGGAGCAAACAGG